GACGAAGGAUGCAAGCGUUAUCCGGAUUCAUUGGGUUUAAAGGGAGCGUAGGUGGUCUUAUAAGUCAGUGGUGAAAUCUCUGGGCUUAACCCAGAAAUUGCCAUUGAUACUGUAGGACUUGAGUAUAGUUGCCGUUGGCGGAAUAUGACAUGUAGUGGUGAAAUACAUAGAGAUGUCAUAGAACACCGAUUGCGAAGGCAGCUAACGAAACUAUAACUGACACUGAGGCCCGAAAGUGCGGGGAUCAAACAGG
rnacentral:rRNA from 1 species